UCAGUAGAAUGUAUGAAAGCAACUGUGAUGUCAUCAGCUACAAAGUAACUGAGGGCUCUCUUCUGUCAGAAUGCUUACAGUAAUACAGCUGCAGUGGUAAUGAUGAGAUUCCACCCUCUGUUCAGCUUUAUCUUAAUCAUUAGCAGUUGUUUAUUCAUAAGUAAAUUAACUUUCUGCAUGUGUUCAUUUCCAUCUCAUGUCUGUGGGUUUUAUCAUAUUUUGAUUUUAUACACAUAUGUAGUGUUUCUGUUGUAUUGGUAAAAAUAUAAAGUGUCCUCAUAGUAAAACUUCCUCUUACUAUAUGUGGCAGGUUUAGUGUGUAAAUCUUCAGGAACAUCAGCACCUGCACUGUAGUAUCACUCCUCCUGUCCUUUAAUACUACAAAGGGCAUUUCAUACUCCACCCCUGUGCAAAUGAGUCCCUGUUUCCUUCCUCCCUCCUCCUUUAAAUAGCACAUUAUUGACUCUCUUUAAACCCGCAGUAGUUCCUGAGGAACACGGUGAAGAGCAGCUCACAGCAGAUCAUCUUCAGCACCGACCAUGUUCUCUGUGUCUCUGCUGCUGCUGGCAGCUGCAUCCUGUGUUCACUGUAAUGUUCAACUCACACAGCCAGGAUCUAUGACAGUGAGACCAGGAGAGUCUCUGACCAUCUCCUGUAAAGUCUCUGGUUAUUCACUGACUGACAGCAGCUAUGCUACAAACUGGAUACGACAGCCUGCAGGGAAAGAGCUGGAAUGGGUUGGUUUUAUAUGGUAUGAUGGAAGCACUGCUUACAAAGAAUCACUUAAGAAUAAAUUCACCAUCUCCAGAGACACCUCCAGCAGCACAGUGUCCUUACAGGGGAAGAGCCUGCAGACUGAAGACACAGCUGUGUACUACUGUGCACGAGAAUCACAGUGA